rnacentral:lncRNA from 1 species
AAUACGUGUACAAUAUAAGAUAGAUAAAAGAGAUGUGAUAAAUUAAUUUUUGAUUUUUAAUAAUUUUAAAUAUAGUUAGGAAAAAAAAUUAUGCAAAAAAUAUUUUUUAAAAUUGGUUUAGAAAGUUCUUUGUUUUGAGAUUUGGUUAUUAAAUUAAUUUUAAAAAUAAAUAAAUAAAUAAAUAAAUAAAUCUUGCAUUCACAAUAUAUUUCAGUAUUCAAAAUUUAUCCUACUUUUUUAAAUAUUAAAAUUUUAUAAAAAAUAAAAAAAUAAACGAAAUAAAGCUUAAUAUAAAUCUUUCAAAACACAAAACAAAACAAAACAAAAUAAAAUCCUUGGAGUCAUUUCUAAAUUUAUGCCCCUGACAUGAACAUUAAUUUAGUGUUAAAUUCUUCCUGCUAAACUGUCAUCAAAACACCCACUACCUUCAAAAAGACACAACUCCAUUCCAAUGUACAGUCUAAAACACAUUCUGCCCAACUGGUUCUACGAAGAGAGAGAUAAUGCGCAACCUCCAUCAGUCCCAGUAUCAGUCCACCACACCACCAACCGCAAGUCGAUAUACCGACACAAGACGUCGGCACCGAAGCAC